rnacentral:piRNA from 1 species
UAUACAUGUCAAUGACACGUCUGUGUUACA